CAUGCAAGUCGAGCGGGGAAGAGUAGCUUGCUACUUGACCUAGCGGCGGACGGGUGAGUAAUGCUUAGGAAUCUGCCUAUUAGUGGGGGACAACAUCUCGAAAGGGAUGCUAAUACCGCAUACGUCCUACGGGAGAAAGCAGGGGACCUUCGGGCCUUGCGCUAAUAGAUGAGCCUAAGUCGGAUUAGCUAGUUGGUGGGGUAAAGGCCUACCAAGGCGACGAUCUGUAGCGGGUCUGAGAGGAUGAUCCGCCACACUGGGACUGAGACACGGCCCAGACUCCUACGGGAGGCAGCAGUGGGGAAUAUUGGACAAUGGGGGGAACCCUGAUCCAGCCAUGCCGCGUGUGUGAAGAAGGCCUUUUGGUUGUAAAGCACUUUAAGCGAGGAGGAGGCUACCGAGAUUAAUACUCUUGGAUAGUGGACGUUACUCGCAGAAUAAGCACCGGCUAACUCUGUGCCAGCAGCCGCGGUAAUACAGAGGGUGCAAGCGUUAAUCGGAUUUACUGGGCGUAAAGCGCGCGUAGGUGGCCAAUUAAGUCAAAUGUGAAAUCCCCGAGCUUAACUUGGGAAUUGCAUUCGAUACUGGUUGGCUAGAGUAUGGGAGAGGAUGGUAGAAUUCCAGGUGUAGCGGUGAAAUGCGUAGAGAUCUGGAGGAAUACCGAUGGCGAAGCAGCCAUCUGGCCUAAUACUGACACUGAGGUGCGAAAGCAUGGGGAGCAAACAGGAUUAGAUACCCUGGUAGUCCAUGCCGUAAACGAUGUCUACUAGCCGUUGGGGCCUUUGAGGCUUUAGUGGCGCAGCUAACGCGAUAAGUAGACCGCCUGGGGAGUACGGUCGCAGACUAAAACUCAAAUGAAUUGACGGGGCCCGCACAAGCGGUGGAGCAUGUGG
rnacentral:rRNA from 1 species